UACGUAGGCAGCAAGCGUUGUUCGGAGUUACUGGGCGUAAAGGGUGUGUAGGCGGUUGGUUAAGUUUGGUGUGAAAUCUCCCGGCUCAACUGGGAGGGUGCGCCGAAUACUGAAUGACUUCGAGUGCGGGAGAGGAGAGUGGAAUUCCUGGUGUAGCGGUGAAAUGCGCAGAUAUCAGGAAGAACACCCGUGGCUAAGGCGGCUCUCUAGUACGGUACUGACGCUGAGACGCGAAAGCGUGGGGAGCGAACAGG
rnacentral:rRNA from 1 species